rnacentral:rRNA from 1 species
UUUCCGUAGGUGAACCUGCGGAAGGAUCAUUACCGAGCGAGAAUUCUCUGAAUUCAACCUCCCACCCGUGUUUAUUGUACCUUGUUGCUUCGGCGGGCCCGCCUCACGGCCGCCGGGGGGCAUCUGCCCCCGGGCCCGCGCCCGCCGAAGACACCUUGAACUCUGUAUGAAAAUUGCAGUCUGAGUCUAAAUAUAAAUUAUUUAAAACUUUCAACAACGGAUCUCUUGGUUCCGGCAUCGAUGAAGAACGCAGCGAAAUGCGAUACGUAAUGUGAAUUGCAGAAUUCAGUGAAUCAUCGAGUCUUUGAACGCACAUUGCGCCCCCUGGUAUUCCGGGGGGCAUGCCUGUCCGAGCGUCAUUGCUGCCCUCAAGCCCGGCUUGUGUGUUGGGUCUCGUCCCCCUUCCCGGGGGGACGGGCCCGAAAGGCAGCGGCGGCACCGCGUCCGGUCCUCGAGCGUAUGGGGCUUUGUCACCCGCUCUGUAGGCCCGGCCGGCGCUUGCCGAUCAACCAAAACUUUKUUCCAGGUUGACCUCGGAUCAGGUAGGGAUACCCGCUGAACUUAAGCAUAUCAAUA